GAGAAGUACACUGGUGGGGAAUCGCAAUGCUUUAUGGUUAACUAGGCUUGUUACAAGAUGGCCGCUAUCCAAGAUGGCGGCUCUUGGUGGAAACCCGAAGUGAGUGCAAGAAAACAGACCACUGUUCGCCGGGAUGACCAUGGAUGACUACACACAAGUUGAAGGACAGAAAAUUCUUGGUUUGCUCUGAACCAGGACUAUGGAGUUCAACCCAGCCUUACAUCAGAUUCUCUCACCAACCAUGCUAUGAUUCACAGACCUGGAAUACUCACAGAAUGAAAACAUCACUACUCAUUUUAUAGCUACUGUGUGUUUAAGUUGUUUGUUUACUAUUUGCAUUGGUGAUGAUUUGACUUUUGUGAUUUGUUAUACCUCUUUCCCAAGUUUACCCUACUUAGUCUUUGAUUGAAAGGAGGCUGGGUAAAGGCAGUGUAUUGUUGUACAUUGUAAUGCUCAAUGUUAUGAACCAAUGAUGUCUUGCCUGAAAGUGCAACUUGAAAAAAAUAUCUAACAUAUUUGUAGUAGCUUGAAAUAGUAGAACUGACAUUAGUAUAGGAUUGAAACAAAUGUAAUUUAUCUAUUGUGUGUCCAUUGUUUUCUUUUCCUUUGGCAUGAAGUAAUAUCCUAGCCUGUGUGCUAUCCUAGUUACAUGACCAACUCCUAUAUCUCUCCCCCAUAUACUCAGGGGAAGUGUAAACAAAGGCAAACAAGGCUUGUGCAGCAUAUUAUAUUGUGGUGUCUGUAUAUCAUAGACAACUUUGUGUUAUAUCUGGUGCAUUGUGAUCAGUAUCACUAUGAUAGGAACUACUGGUUUGUUAUUACAUGUCGCCACCUAAUGUUAUUUUCAUUGUGUGUUACCACUUUUUGUAUAUUUAUUUUGACACACAUUAAAACAUAUUCUCUGAUGCACUUAUGAUAUUGUUUAAUGCACUAAUGGUAAGGUAAACCUGGCAAGUCUGUUACCAGCUACAGGUAACAAACCCAAUAUCAAUAGUACAAACAAAUGAAUCCAGUAUUGUAUAAAGAGAUAUCAAUGAAGAGUAAUAUUGGGAAAAUUAUAUGAAUAAAAGUUUUCAACAUAGAAUUUAUGUACAUUAAAGAAGAGGAUACUCUA